UUUCGGAAUGAGAGGGAGUGGCGGACGGGUGAGUAACACAUGGGUGACCUGCCCCGAAGUGAGGGAUACCGGCGAGAAAUCGCCGACAAGCCCGCAUGCGUUCUCUCUGGUCGUGCGGAGAGAGCAAAGUUUUACGCAAGUGAGACGCUUUGGGAUGGGCCUGUGGCCGAUUAGCUGGUUGGUGGGGUAAGAGCCUACCAAGGCGACGGUCGGUAGCUGGUCUGAGAGGACGAUCAGCCACACUGGGAUUGAGAACGGCCCAGACUCCUACGGGGGGCAGCAGUGAGGAAUUUUCGGCAAUGGGCGCAAGCCUGACCGAGCAACGCCGCGUGCAGGAGGACGCUUUUCGGA
rnacentral:rRNA from 1 species